UCCCGCUGGUCUUCUCUAGCUGACCUAAGCAAUUCUGUGAACAGAGAAACAUCACAUUCCCAGAGUCAGAAAAUCAUUAUGACCAAUGGCCAUUUUGGCAUUUGGAGGGAGGGGACAGCAAGAGUCAGAGAGGCCUGGAGCUCCCUCUAGAGGCCAAUACCUAUUAAAGGUUAAAUGAACUGGAAAUGAUUUAGCUCUGUGCCCGGCACAGAUCUGGACACAAUAGCUACUAAUGCUAAUGAGAAUGGUUCAAAUACUAUGUUAAACACUGGGGAUGUAAACUAAGGUCCUGGUCUUCAAGAUUAUCAUGGUUCAAUGCAAGAGGCACCUAAGAAAAUAACUAUAAUACAAAGUUGUUGGCAGAAAUUGCACACUCCCUUCUGAAGCUGGCACCAUAUGACACUCAGACAAUGGAGAGUCGUGGGCUUCGGCGCUACAUCAUGGAGAUGCUACCCAUUACUGACUGGACAGCUGAGGCAGUGAGGCCGGCCCUCAUCCUCAUUUUAAAAAGAUUGGAUAGAAUGUUCAACAAAAUUCAUAAGAUGCCUACUUUGAGGCGACAGGUUGAGUGGGAGCCUGCCAGCAAUUUGAUUGAAGGGGUUUGUUUGACACUUCAGAGGCAGCCAAUCAUAUCCUUCCUGCCUCACCUUAGGUCACUGAUCAAUGUCUGUGUCAAUCUGGUGAUGGGAGUGGUAGGACCUUCCAGUGUUGCUGAUGGAUUACCCCUUCUUCAUCUCAGCCCUUAUCUCUCACCACCUCUGCCCUUCAGCACAGCUGUUGUCCGGCUUGUAGCAUUGCAGAUACAGGCUUUAAAAGAAGAUUUUCCUUUAAGCCAUGUGAUCUCCCCAUUCACCAAUCAAGAGCGAAGGGAGGGGAUGCUUUUAAAUCUGCUCAUCCCAUUUGUGCUCACAGUAGGAUCUGGAAGCAAAGAUAGCCCAUGGCUGGAGCAGCCUGAGGUGCAGCUGCUGCUGCAGACAGUCAUCAAUGUACUCCUCCCACCGCGGAUCAUCAGCACAUCCAGGAGCAAGAACUUCAUGUUAGAGAGCUCCCCAGCCCACUGCUCCACCCCUGGGGAUGCGGGGAAAGACUUGCGCAGGGAAGGGCUGGCUGAGUCCACCAGCCAAGCAGCAUACUUGGCGCUGAAGGUGAUUCUCGUCUGCUUUGAGAGGCAGCUCGGAAGCCAGUGGUACUGGCUGAGCCUCCAGGUGAAGGAGAUGGCUCUGCGGAAGGUGGGAGGCCUGGCCCUUUGGGAUUUCCUCGACUUCAUCGUGCGGACCCGAAUACCCAUCUUUGUGCUUUUGCGCCCUUUCAUCCAGUGCAAGCUGCUGGCCCAACCAGCAGAGAAUCAUGAAGAGCUUUCCGCCCGGCAACAUAUUGCGGACCAGCUGGAGCGGCGCUUCAUACCACGCCCUUUGUGUAAGAGCUCACUCAUUGCUGAGUUCAACAGUGAACUAAAAAUUCUAAAAGAGGCAGUUCAUAGUGGAUCAGCCUACCAAGGCAAGACAUCCAUCAGUACCGUGGGCACCUCCACCUCUGCUUACCGCCUGAGCUUGGCCACCAUGUCCCGCUCUAACACGGGCACGGGCACUGUCUGGGAGCAGGACAGUGAGCCAUCCCAGCAGGCUUCGCAGGACACCCUGAGUCGGACUGAUGAGGAAGAUGAGGAAAAUGACUCUAUAAGCAUGCCCAGCGUGGUAAGUGAACAAGAAGCUUACCUCCUGAGUGCCAUUGGAAGGAGGCGAUUCUCCAGCCAUGUCUCCAGCAUGUCUGCACCUCAGGCUGAGGUGGGCAUGCUACCCAGCCAGAGGGUGGCAAGUAUACAGAGUGAACCUGGUCAACAGAACCUCCUUGUUCAGCAGCCGCUGGGGAGGAAGAGGGGCCUGAGGCAGCUAAGACGUCCUCUACUAUCACGUCAGAAAACUCAGACUGAACCCAGAAAUCGCCAAGGGGCUCGGCUGUCAACCACUCGCAGGAGCAUUCAACCUAAAACGAAGCCGUCUGCGGAUCAGAAACGAUCUGUGACCUUCAUUGAGGCUCAGCCAGAGCCAGCAGCUGCCCCAACAGAUGCGCUUCCUGCAACAGGCCAACUACAGGGCUGCAGCCCAGCCCCUUCUAGGAAACCAGAAGCAAUGGACGAACCAGUCCUCACAUCUUCUCCCGCCAUAGUUGUUGCGGAUCUCCACAGCGUGUCUCCCAAGCAGAGUGAGAACUUCCCCACUGAAGAAGGAGAAAAGGAGGAGGACACAGAAGCACAAGGUGCUACUGCACACAGUCCACUCUCUACCCAACUCUCUGACCCUGAUGACUUCACAGGCCUCGAGACAUCCAGCCUCCUACAGCAUGGAGACACUGUCCUUCAUAUCAGUGAGGAAAAUGGCAUGGAGAACCCGCUACUAUCUAGUCAGUUCACCUUUACUCCCACUGAGCUGGGGAAAACGGAUGCAGUAUUAGAUGAGUCUCAUGUUUAAUUCUAUAUCUUGUAAGCUCUGCAGGUAUAGAGAAGACAUGAAAGUGAUCUCUCUACUACAAGUUCAAUACUUUUGCUUGAAAAAGAUUAAUUACAAAAUAGCACUUUACUUCUAAUGGGUGGCACAAAUCUGAAUAGGUUUUGCUGCCAAUACACAUGAUGUUUCAUAAACAUCUUAAAAGUCAAUGGCUAAAAGGAUUUAGUUGUGUGAAAAUCACA
rnacentral:sRNA from 1 species